CAUGAAUAGCAAUUUACUGGAGUGCUCAAAAGUGCUUUUAAUGUAGGACUUGUUGAAUAUUCUCCAGAUUGACAACUACAAAGCCACCGAGUAGGAAAUGUCUCAGGAUUCCCAUCAUCCAUGUUUUGGAGGAGAAUUUAUCCUCUGCCUUUCUUGGAAGCCUCCUCCAGCCCCAAAUGUGCCAUAGCUCUGGGAUUUUGCACACUACCAAGUGGAUACUGGGAGGAGCCAGGUUUGAGCCAUCUCCAGAGGCUGCCUGUUAAAGUGAAUGGCCCCCAGCAAGCAGAAGGAGACUGUGGGUCAUCACGAGAGGACAGAACCUGAGGAGGCUGUGCCUCCUAAUCCUGGACAACAGAACAUUGCUGGACAACCAUGGCAAAGCUGAGCUCAGUGGGCUCACCAUGGAUUUACUCUGAUCUGCAUUACUUAGAUCAUUAAUGUCAAUCCCUUUUUUCCCAGUAGCUUUAUGUCUGUUCACAUCAUUUCAUUCUCAAUUGCACUAGCUCUAUGCUUUUACCCUUAGCUGUUAUCCUCACCCUCUAUCUAAACAAGAGCUCCUUUGAUUUCCUUCCUCCUCACUUUAAAAUUUUCUUUUUCCUUUGAUCGUUCUCUUAUUUUUCUCAUCCUGUCUCAGGAAUGCUCUUUCUUCCCAAGGCUAUGCCUUCCUCUCUGCAUGGAUCCUGUCCCCUCCUGGCUUUCCAGGACUACUGCAUGAAUUACCUUCUAUUCUCUUGCAUCUUCAGUGUCACCCUUUUCAUGAGCUCUGCAACAGUCCUAUUGCCCAAGCUCUAGAAAAUCCCCCUCUUAAAUUAUUGUAUUUCUAGCCUUUCAUUUACUAUCUCAUUUCUCAAAAGUGCAAUAAACAUGUAAUUUCCCUUUUUCUACUCUUUUGGUUUGAGGCAUAUUAUCCUUCUAUUUCUCACACCUAAGGCCUCAAAUUCCACCUGUAAGGGGGGGGGAGCUUGCACUUAGGUUCUAGGCUAAAUCUAGUCACAAGAAAGCAACUAGUGCAGUUAGAUUCACAGUUUAGAGUGUCUGUGGAAAUGCUUCACCUUGGGAUGGGAUUCUGCCUGCAUUACUGUUACUUAAGCAUACUGAUGCCACCUGGAUAUUCACCUGCUUCAGCUUCUGCCUGUUGACCCCUUGCACACUACUUUCUCCCCCUCUCAUGUUUGGAAGAAUCAACCUCAAAAUGUUAACUUCAUUAUUGAUAAAGCCAACUGGGGAACAUGUCUUUAGAUGUUUGGUCAAAAGCCUUGCUGAGUUGAAUUUUCUCCUACAACAGCAGCCCAGAAUGCACUCUCUCUGCACUUGGUUUGCAGGCUGGCUUAUGGAGAGUCAGGGGUUAAGUGUUCUUCCAACUUUG